rnacentral:rRNA from 1 species
AAGGGUAUUCUUCACCUCUGACGGGAGUUUACAACCCAAGGCCUUAAUCCUCCACGCGGCGUCGCUGCGUCAGGCUUUCGCCCAUUGCGCAAAAUUCCCC